ACCUAUUGUAUUGUGUUAAUUAACCAGUGUUCACCAGGGUAACCCCUGCGUGUCACUCCAUCAGCUGAUGUAUAAUAAAUCCUCCGCUUGUUUUCACCUGCAUCCAGAGUGUCCUGGCUUAUUUCCAACAGUUUGGGGGCUCGUCCGGGAUUCAGGCUUGUGAGCUGAUCGGGAGCUGGAGACUGAAACCCAAGAGAGAUCAUCAGAAAGUGCUGGUGCCAGCUGAAGAAAAACAACAAACAACAACAACAACAAAAAACCAUGGUUCUGUGUCAUGACAUAAUAAGUUUGUGUUCUGUCCAAGUUUGUCUUGUGUGUCUUAAUUGUAAUACAUAUUGCAAAUGUUGUUGUGUAUAGAAAAUUGUUUUAAUGAAAGGAUAAUUUGAGUAAAGCAGAAGCAUGAAUUUAAACCAACAAAAUUAAUAAUUGGGCCCAAUCCAUUGGCAACUCUAAACUUAAUCAAUUGGCAACUUUAAAAUUCAGUAAAAGGAUAAUAGUUGAGUAAUUGUUUAGGCUAGAAGAAUGUUAACAAUGUCUCCACAGGUGAACAAAAAAGGAACUGGAAGGAAGCAAGGAGCGCAUCACGUGAACAGAAGGACUGGGAGUGGGAUACCAGCCCCUCCCCCACCGGAUUGGUUUUGCUUUAAUGGCUACACAAA